UACGGGGGGGGCAAGCGUUGUUCGGAAUUACUGGGCGUAAAGGGCUCGUAGGUGGCCAACUAAGUCGGACGUGAAAUCCCUCAGCUUAACUGGGGAACUGCGUCCGAUACUGGAUGGCUUGAGUUCGGGAGAGGGAUGUGGAAUUCCAGGUGUAGCGGUGAAAUGCGUAGAUAUCUGGAGGAACACCGGUGGCGAAGGCGGCUAUCUGGACAGAAACUGACGCUGAGGCGCGAAAGCUAGGGGAGCAAACAGG
rnacentral:rRNA from 1 species